ensembl:snRNA RNU6-1209P RNA, U6 small nuclear 1209, pseudogene
AUGCUUGCUUUGGCAGCACAUAUACUAAAUUUGGAAUGAUACAGAGAAGAUUAGCAUGGCCCCUGCACAAGGAUGACACACAAAUUCAUGAAGCAUUCCAUUAAAAA